UCGGAUAUGGUGUAACGGCUAACAUUGCCGCCUCUCAUGGAUAAUUCGAGGUCCGACUUUGCGCGGCAGCUCGGGGUUCGAUUCCCCGUAUCCGAA
rnacentral:tRNA from 1 species